rnacentral:rRNA from 1 species
CUACGGGUUGCAGCAGUGGGGAAUAUUGCACAAUGGACGAAAGUCUGAUGCAGCAACGCCGCGUGGAGGAUGACACAUUUCGGUGCGUAAACUCCUUUUAUAUAGGAAGAUAAUGACGGUACUAUAUGAAUAAGCACCGGCUAACUCCGUGCCAGCAGCCGCGGUAAUACGGAGGGUGCAAGCGUUACUCGGAAUCACUGGGCGUAAAGAGCGUGUAGGCGGGUUAAUAAGUUGGAAGUGAAAUCCUAUGGCUCAACCAUAGAACUGCUUCCAAAACUGUUAACCUAGAAUAUGGGAGAGGUAGAUGGAAUUUCUGGUGUAGGGGUAAAAUCCGUAGAGAUCAGAAGGAAUACCGAUUGCGAAGGCGAUCUACUGGAACAUUAUUGACGCUGAGACGCGAAAGCGUGGGGAGCAAACAGGAUUAGAUACCCUAGUAGUC